rfam:Cavia porcellus supercont2_226 genomic scaffold, whole genome shotgun sequence.
AACCUCGCCGGGCAGGGGAGAGGCGAUAUCGUGAUCCCAAAGAUGGUUUUCCCAGGCGUGGCACUCUGGAGUUGCUGACACCUGCGAUUUCCCCAAAUGUGGGAAACGCUACCGCAUAAUUUGUGGUAGUGGGGGACUGCGUUCGCACUCUCCCUGG